rnacentral:rRNA from 1 species
CACACAGGAAACAGCUAUGACCAUGAUUACGCCAAGCUAUUUAGGUGACACUAUAGAAUACUCAAGCUAUGCAUCCAACGCGUUGGGAGCUCUCCCAUAUGGUCGACCUGCAGGCGGCCGCGAAUUCACUAGUGAUUUACGGCUACCUUGUUACGACUUCACCCCAGUCGCUGACUAUACCGUGGUCAAGGGUUUAAAACCUUGCCUUAAGGUAGAACCAACUCCCAUGGUGUGACGGGCGGUGUGUACAAGACCCGGGAACGCAUUCACCGUGGCACGCUGAUCCACGAUUACUAGUAAUUCCAGCUUCAUGCACUCGAGUUGCAGAGUGCAAUCCGAACUGAGGCAUCUUUUUGGGAUUUGCUUAACGUUGCCGUUUUGCUUCCUGUUGUAGAUGCCAUUGUAGCACGUGUGUAGCCCAACACGUAAGGGCCAUGAGGACUUGACGUCAUCCCCACCUUCCUCCAGCUUAUCACUGGCAGUUCUU